AGGGAAUCUUCCACAAUGGACGCAAGUCUGAUGGAGCAACGCCGCGUGAGUGAAGAAGGUUUUCGGACCGUAAAGCUCUGUUGUUGGUGAAGAAGGAUAGAGGUAGUAACUGGCCUUUAUUUGACGGUAAUCAACCAGAAAGUCACGGCUAACUACGUGCCAGCAGCCGCGGUAAUACGUAGGUGGCAAGCGUUGUCCGGAUUUAUUGGGCGUAAAGCGAGCGCAGGCGGAAGAAUAAGUCUGAUGUGAAAGCCCUCGGCUUAACCGAGGAAUUGCAUCGGAAACUGUUUUCUUGAGUGCAGAAGAGGAGAGUAGAACUCCAUGUGUAGCGGUGGAAUGCGUAGAUAUAUGGAAGAAUACCAGUGGCGAAGGCGGCUCUCUGGUCUGCAACUGACGCUGAGGCUCGAAAGCAUGGGUAGCGAACAGGAUUAGAUACCCUGGUAGUCCAUGCCGUAAACGAUGAGUGCUAAGUGUUGGGAGGCUUCCGCCUCUCAGUGCUGCAGCUAACGCAUUAAGCACUCCGCCUGGGGAGUACGACCGCAAGGUUGAAAC
rnacentral:rRNA from 1 species